GCGUCGCUAGCUCAUCUGGUUAGAGCAUCGGACUUUUAAUCCGAGGGUGCUUGGUUCGAGUCCAAGGCGACGCA
rnacentral:tRNA from 1 species